rnacentral:rRNA from 1 species
UACAGAGGUCUCGAGCGUUGUUCGGAUUCAUUGGGCGUAAAGGGCGCGUAGGCGGCGGGGUAAGUCUGGUGUGAAAUCUCGGAGCUCAACUCCGAAACUGCAUUCGAUACUGCGGUGCUUGAGGACUGGAGAGGAGACUGGAAUUCAUGGUGUAGCAGUGAAAUGCGUAGAGAUCAUGAGGAAGACCAGUGGCGAAGGCGGGUCUCUGGACAGUUCCUGACACUGAGACACGAAGGCCAGGGGAGCAAACGGG